GCCACAUCCAGCACCUCCAGGUGGAUCCGGACCAGAGCCAUGACACUUUCCUCCUGGACAAACUCCAAUGGCGUCAGAGGUCCAUGACAUCAGGGUCUCUGUGGAUAUCAUCCCGCUCCCUGUCUUUAAAGUGACCCUGGAGGAAGGGUCAUCAGAGGCCCUGACCAAGGAGGUCAUACAGGUGGAUUCAGGACAUAUUUAUUAUGUCCAUGAUGGAAGUGAUACACUGGCAGAUAACUUCAACAUCAUGGCCAACGACACCGACAUCCAGGAAGCCCAGCCAGCCCUGCACGGUGUUUGUCCAUGUGACGCCUGUCAACGAUGAGGCCCCGGUCAUAACAGCCAACGGGAUAUUACGCUUUCCCCCAUACAGGUGUGGGUGAACUCAGUCGCAGAGAUCUGCGUAGAUGACCUGAGUGUUGAGGACAGUGCCUCUCCUCCUGAGGACCUAGAGUUCAUCGAAACCCCGCCUAGCAACAGACACCGGGCCCUGAAGAGCUCCCCCUUCAGGCACAUCCUGAACUUCACCCAGACACACAUCCUUUGGGGACUGGUGUUUGUGCACAGUGCACGGAGUCAUCAUCGUGGGGGUAACAACCUGACCAGCACCAAACCCAACUUCUUUUAGUUCAUCCUGGAUAAGUUCAGCAUCGCAUACCAGCAUGACGACUCCGAGACGAUCCAAGACUUGUUCACCAUCGAUGCUUGACUAAACCGCAUAGGCCAACCUCCC
rnacentral:lncRNA from 1 species